UGCGCAGGCGGAAGAAUAAGUCAGUGGUGAAAUACUGCCGCUCAACGGUAGGGCUGCCAUUGAUACUGUUUUUCUUGAGUAUGGUUGAGGUAGGCGGAAUGUGCGGUGUAGCGGUGAAAUGCAUAGAUAUCGCCCAGAACGUCGAUUGCGAAGGCAGCUUACUAAACCAUUACUGACGCUGAGGCACGAAAGCGUGGGUAGCGAACAGGAUUAGAUACCCUGGUAGUC
rnacentral:rRNA from 1 species